UCUAAAACAUCACAGUUCAAAUAUCAGAGGGAGAAAGAUAAUAACAGUGCUGUACCUAAAAGUCAUAGCACCAAAGUGUAACAAUGGAAAGCCUGUCACAAACUAAACUCAGAGCUCAUGUUUUUGGUAAUUGGCAUGCAAGGCCCUAAUUUUAUUGUAGUCUUCCUUUCCUUUGUUAUUGUUUAUCUUUCAAACACUGGAGAGCUAUCUUGUAUUCUAAGCAUUGCUUCCCACAAAACUUCUUGCAACUCCCUGAUAGGCUGUAGGCAGUCUUUACCCUGGAGGCUCUGGGGUUUGUAUUUUGAGAAGACAAAACCUCAGCUCAUAAUUUCUCAGACAUCUUCUUUUCUCUGAGAGUUGACAUGCUGCAGCAGGAUUAGAACAGCUGAAAGCUUGCAAGCUAUUAUUCCUGUCAGUGUGUCUGUGUCAUUAAUCUGUCCUUAAACAUUAAAAAUCAUCACAAGACAAAUAAACAUUACCCUAAAGUUUCUGUAGCUGAGAAAGGAUGUUGGAUACUUAAUUAUAAUUUAGUGUGAUUGGCACAGUCCUUUUUCACUGCUUGUGCAUGUGUCUAUGCACAAGUACAUCUGCUGCUUUGCCUUCUGCCUGAUGGGGAGGAGUGGAAAUGCAGGGCUGAGGCCUCUCCAGGCCUGUGUCAGUUCCCAGCUGGAUGCACACUGCAUGCCUGGGAGCACAGCUGAACUGCCAGGGGCACACUGCUGCUUUGGCACUCUUGUGCAGAAGCAUUAAUCUUGUCAGACAACCUGAUGGUGCAGGGCCUUCUCCCACUCUGCUUUUCUGCAUGCUUCUGGGAAUGCACUUAAAGCAGAAGGCCACAGUGUUUACUGUUUUCAGUGGAAAGCAUUUCUAGCACCCUCUCACUAACAGGCCUUGUAUUUACAUUUUUCACCUUCUGUAUUAGACCACCUUCAGCUGAUGGCCAAAACUUAUGAGUCAGUUCUGUGAAGAUACCAUGAGUGUAUUUCUGCUUGGAAAUAAAUUAAUAGGUAAUGUUUCCAGAAAUUCAGUCCAGUAGAUGGCCAGGCAGUUGGAGGGUUUGAUGCUUUUUGGUCUUUUUACUCUCUACUUUAUAAAGUUCAUCGUCUCACCAGAGAAUUCCCAACAUUUUUCAGUUGCCUAAAUUAUUUUUUACCAUGGUCAGAGGAUUUGACUUUUUGAGCUUUCUGCUGUAUGUUGCUGCCUUGCUACAUUGCAUAAAUUGGAAGGCUAUAUUUUACUGAAAAGGUAACAGAAGAAAUAGAUGUUUUCAAGAAAACACCAUAUUCAAGGUGUGGCCUAGCAAGCAGUAAGUUUGAGUUUCUUCCUUUUAAUGUAGGAAAAGAGAAUAGUGAUAAUGGCUGCUAGUACGAUGAUAUUAAAGUAGGUUUGAUUGAUUUUAUUUAAGGUAAUCAUUCCUGUGUUGGGUUUGUUUGUUUAUUCCUCCAUGCUGGGGUGAUAGAGAGUUGUAUGCUCAAUUGAAUAGUCUUUCCAUGGUGAUACAGGUCAUAAUUCCUUGUUGAGUAUCACUCUGAAAGCUGUGUGUGUUGAUUAACUUCUCUGCUUUGACAUGUCCUUAGCCUUGGAUACUCUGAUGAAAUGAAAUUCUUGGCAAGCUAAUGAUGCAGAGCAAUUUCAAUAAUAUUUGUAAACUUGUCAUUUUGGAAAUUAGAAUUACUCCAAAGAGAAAUGUGGCAUGUGAAUGGAGCUACUUCUCAGUGUAAAUAGAAAAUGGUGUUGUAGUUGAUGCUAUUUUGUUGGGCCGUGUUACUGUUCAAAACAAAGAUUGAGGACUGUCCUUAAUGUGUUCUUCCAUUGUGUAACAAAUAGUGAUGGGCUCUGUUAGAGUGUGUGAAACGGAGGGGAAACUCAGACUGCAAGGGUAAAUGAAGCACUGGUGGGAAGGGGUCUACCUGAGCACAUUCUGCUGAGUGUAAGCAGCAUAUUUAGAGAGAUUUACAAUGUUUGAAUCUUCAGGUACACGUUUCAGAAAAAGAAAUUUUAUCUUCUCUCAGUAUGAUUACGAUGACAGUGUGCUAGAUGACAGGUGCAGUAAUACAAGAAAGGGAGCUGGAAACAACUAUGCAGGUUAUAAAAUCUCAUUGUUCAUUUCCACAGCUUAGUGUGACUCUUAUUUUUAACAUGCAUGGGUUUUGACACUUUCAGUGUAAUAAUCUAUUUACUCUGUGGCAUCUCUUUAUAUCAAUUUAAACACUAUUGAUUUGUUGUUUUAAGAAAAUUACUUAGUACUUUUAUUUUUCUGAUUUUUCAGUUUAUCAUCUUGGGUGUUUAUCAUCUUUCAGUUUAUCAUCUUGGGUGUACCUGCUGAGUAUGAGAGUCAUGAAUAUUUAUUCAGUUAUGCUAAACAUACUUUUAUGUUGAAUUAUGGCAUGUGGCAAACAGUGUCUGUUUGGAAUCUUGUGCAGCUGCAAAAUUGGCUUCCAGGAAGGCAGUGUUGCCACUCCUCUCAUUUUUGCUGUCUGUAGGUCUGAUUAGAAAGGAACAAGGUUAUCAGAGGCUGGACUGUUCUGUAAGUAUCACCUCUGGCACCUGUCUUGCUUCUUGUGGCUCCCUCAUGAAGAUGAGGUAUUUCUGCAUAGAUCUUCAGUCACUUCCAGUGGAUGGAUGGGCAGUCCAAUGUCAGAAGAAAGAAAAAUGCUUCUGAAAAACAUUGUUAUCUCUUUCCUCUACUGUCACCUUCUGCCUGGCCCAAAAUAUUAGGACAGUGCCAAAGAAAUGUUUAGACAUCAGCAACAAAAUCAGGGUCUGUUUUAAGGCAGACUUUGUAUGCUGUGAGUAUCCAGCAGAAUUCUUUUCACCAUUUUAUUUGAUGGUAGGUGGUACAUGUUUGGGCUUUGCAGUUGGUGGUUUGGUGUUUGCUUGUUUAUUUUUAGCUUCAGAACAGAAAGAGUUAUCUCAUGAUAGCUCAUGAACAUUGAAGAAAAGAAAAUGAAUCUGUGAACCAUAGUACUUAUUGGAAACUACUGUGCAGCAUUUCAGUGUUGCUGCCAGUUUCAUCUUUUGUCCUUGCACAAAAACUACAUGCACAGAUUAUUCAUAAAACAAUCCAAUGUCCUUGUCUGUAGCAGAGUAGAGCUCAGUGCCCAGGGGAGUGAUCACUUGGUGAUAGCCACACUCUGCAGCUUUAUUGCCUCACUACUUUUUUCCUUUUUCUUUCAUUCUGAGUUUUUGUUGGACAUGACUUGGAGCCACCUUGAAGGUGAAGCAGGGCAGGAGUGCAGAAGGACAUUGCUUAUGUUUCAUCAGCAUUAAGAAGUGAUUGUGGCAAACUCUGCAUGGCUUUCAUGUUGCUGUGGAGCUUCUAUUACUACUGAGAUUUGUGCUGCCUAGAAUAUUGCCUAGAACAUUUAUUAUUGCUUACAUUUUUUGACAGAAUGAUGUAUCUAAGAGCAUAAUUUUAGUUUCUUUCUGCUGUCAGCUAUGGCUGGGAUUUAAAAAUAUGUCUGUUGGGUCCUAUUGUCAUCACUUUAAUUAUGCCUUUAUUACUUCUGCAGUGAAAUUGGUAUCUGUACUUGUAAGGCUGGGAGGGAAGAGAAUCUUGAGUGCAGGCCAGGGUUUUGAGGCUAUUGCUGCGAUCAAGCUUACAGAGAUUUUUUUUCAUCUUGGCUUCUGCUUUGAUGUUCAGUUCUGAGUACCUGUAAACAGUAGGAAGGGAAUAGGCAGAGCCAAAUGAUAAAAGAAAGAGUAGCUGACUGGCACAGUGAACUAAAUUUUGAAAGUAUCCCCAUUUCAGAAGUCUCUUGGGAGGCUUUAGUCUCCCUUUGACAGAAGGCAGCAGCAGUGCUGCAGUGGAGGUAAGUGAAAACACUCCUGGGGGAGUGUGCAUGCCAUAAAAUCCCAAUGUCCUGAAUUAGUGACCCUGCAGUUUGCAUGUAUUCCCCAUCUUCUUGAUAAACUCCAGGGGAUCUUGUUACUGAAUUUGCCAGUGACACAAAUCUUGGAAGAGACGCUAGAGGAUUAUAUUCUUUCAUGUAAAAAGCUGUUUAGAGGAAGUCAGCAGAGCCAGCUUACUCACUGUGCAGUCUCAUCUGUGGCAGGCCUUGUCUUACAGCUGUGUCCCAGGGCUUCCUUGGGCCCCUUGUCCACCUCUCCAUCUAACACUGUGAGGCUUCAGGUUAUAACAAUUGCUUUGAUCUUUUCACAGACCUUCUACAGCAGGUAUUUGAAAACAGAAUAGUUAAUGCACCAGUACAGUAGUUUGUGUGAUUUCUGAUGUCUUAACUUAGGACACCUAAGGUGGGCUGUUGUCUGUGAAGAGUUUGUGUGGUCAGUAAGUCUUGACAUCAGCAUAAAUAAAUUUGGACAAGGGUCUUAAGGAUGAGAAGAAAAAGAUAAGGAAAAUAAAUGUCUUUUAAGCCACUAGAGGAAAGUCCAGAAAUAUUACACAUUUCUUUUAAAAGUCGAUAAACUGCAAAUUGAGUAACUGAUGUUAUCAUAGCUGAUGUUAUGUCUUAUGUGAUAUUUAACAAUAAAAAUAGUAUACACAAUAUA